rnacentral:rRNA from 1 species
GACGUAGGGUGCGAGCGUUGUCCGGAUUUAUUGGGCGUAAAGAGCUCGUAGGCGGUCUGUCGCGUCUGCUGUGAAAACUCGGGGCUUAACCCCGGGCCUGCAGUGGGUACGGGCAGACUAGAGUGCGGUAGGGGAGACUGGAAUUCCUGGUGUAGCGGUGAAAUGCGCAGAUAUCAGGAGGAACACCGGUGGCGAAGGCGGGUCUCUGGGCCGAUACUGACGCUGAGGAGCGAAAGCGUGGGGAGCGAACAGG